CAAUUUACGGGUGAUCGAAACCAUGGGAAAAUUGCCAGCGCCGGUGAACGGUGGUGGCGCCGUGCUUAAGAGAAAGACACCUUCGGAACUUCGGGGAGAGCAGUUGAAGAGGGGAAGUGCUGUCACUGAUAAAUCUUCACUCCCAUUGAGUGAUACUACAAACACCAAUCAGAUGGAUAAUGUGGAUAAGAGACCAGGUCUGUUGAGG